rnacentral:rRNA from 1 species
GAUUAACGCUGGCGGCGUGCAUAACACAUGCCAGUCGAACGAUGAAACUUAGUAGACUUCUUCGGAAAGACACUAAGCGGAUUAGUGACGAACGGGUGAGUAACGCGUGAGUAACCUGCCUUACACAAGGGGAUAGCCUUUGGAAACGAAGAAUAAUACCCUAUAAAACCAUAAAAGCACAUGCUAGAAUGGUCAAAGUGAUAGCGGUGUAAGAUGGACUUGCGUCUGAUUAGCUAGUUGGUGAGAUAAAAGCUCACCAAGGCAACGAUCAGUAGCCGGCUUGAGAGAGUGUACGGCCACAUUGGGACUGAGACACGGCCCAGACUCCUACGGGAGGCAGCAGUGGGGAAUUUUGCACAAUGGGGGAAACCCUGAUGCAGCGACGCCGCGUGAUUUAGAAGGCCUUCGGGUUGUAAAAAUCUUUUGUAUAGGAAGAAAAUGACAGUACUAUACGAAUAAGGUCCGGCUAAUUACGUG